rnacentral:rRNA from 1 species
CAGUCGCCGCGGUAAUACGUAGGGUGCGAGCGUUAAUCGGAAUUACUGGGCGUAAAGCGUGCGCGGGCGGUUGUGUAAGACAGGUGUGAAAUCCCCGGGCUUAACCUGGGAACUGCGCUUGUGACUGCACAGCUAGAGUAUGGCAGAGGGGGGUGGAAUUCCACGUGUAGCAGUGAAAUGCGUAGAGAUGUGGAGGAACACCGAUGGCGAAGGCAGCCCCCUGGGCCAAUACUGACGCUCAUGCACGAAAGCGUGGGGAGCAAACAGGAUUAGAUACCCGCGUAGUCCCUGUCUCUUAUAA